rnacentral:lncRNA from 1 species
AUAGGUUAAUGAAGUUAUGAAGAAAAUAUUUUCCAUGGAAGUCACCAUGUCCUGAAUUUUAUCAUGGACCUCUGUAGGUCUCUGACAAACCAAAUGAACUAAGUCUGACUCACCAAGAUACUUGUGAAUCGCAGAAAAGGAGCCUGAAGUCACGUGGAGUCAGAACCGGUGAGAAAGUUGGAGGAGGACACAUCGCUAUGUUCUUACGAGCUGCCUUUCCAUUGGAUGACAGCAGCAGUAGCAUUCACUGCAUCUUUUACGACAACUUGUAAAGACACUCAGGAAAGAGGACUUCCAAAAAGUGACAAGAAGGAUGGGAUAUGUGUCUUCAAAGUAAGUAUUACUUCCAUGGAAAGGAUUCUUCAUGACACUUCUGUCUGCCCCAGGCUGCUGUGUCUGACACUUGUUCACGACUCAGUGUGUGCUCCUUUCCGUGCAUGCCAAAAUGUACUGUAUGUUCCAGGAAGUGCCAAGGAGGUGGGUGCACAGGGUCAAGAUGUAUGCAACUCGGGUUUCAGUGUGAAUACAGCUGGACAAAAUCGGAAUUCUUCUCUUGGUUUUGGCCUGGCUCGUGAUAACAUGUCUGUGUCUACUUGUCAUUUGGAAAUGAAACGACUUCCCGUGCACAGCCUCUUUGGGCAGAGCAGGUCCUUCUCCCGCGGGUCCUUCCCAUCAAGCACUGCACAAGGUUGUUACUGCUUCAUUUGCCAGGUGUGAAAAGCAGCACCAGAAAGGGCAUUUCCCACUCUCGCUUCUGGUCCUGCAGCCACGGUAUACGCUGCCGUCAUCGAUCACAGCCCACACAUAUGGAACAGGCCAUGUGAUUAGCACAGCUUGCUGGAGGCGAUAAUGCAAGAUCACUGGGCUCCAGUCAGCUGGGUUUAUAUCUAGCCUGAACAUGUAAGCUGUCUCCUUUUGUCAGAUAUGGUGAUUUCAUUACGAGUGUAGCAGCGAGUGCUAUGUGCCAUGCAUCAAGCUAAUGAAUAAAUAAAUCCAAACGGUAAUUGAAUUUCUGCAUUAAUGAUAAGAAUUCCCUGUAAAGGAAAAGAAGGAAC